GCAUACGAAUAUAUGUUACAUAUAUAUGACAUAUAUCAUAUAUGAGUUGCCAUUUACACACAUAUACAUGAUAUAGAUACAACAUUAUGUAAGAACUACCAUGUAUCCAUACUACAUAUACAUAUACAUAUCCAUGUAUGCAGCAUGUAGGAUAGGUAUACAUACGAAUACGUUACGAAUACAUACUGGACAUACGAAUAUACCAUAGGAAUAUAUGUUACAUAGAUAUUACAUAAACCUACGCUAUAAUUGCAGAUGUAUUGCAAGCUGAAUAUAUAGAUAUAUAUAUACAUAUAUAUAUACCACACACAUGAUAUCCACGACGGACAACACAGUAUAAUGAAGACGAUGUUAUGCUUAUGAAGACGACGUUUACGUGCAUAUCUCAAUCGAUUAUUUGAUCACGUUAACAAUUAAACCUUGGCAUUUCCACACAUAUACAUGAUAUAGAUACAACAUUAUGUAAGAACUACACGAUGACUAUUCGAAGGUUCACUCACCUAUGGAAAGAAAUGUAUCCUGCUUUCCACGACUCACAUGGAACAACCGUAGACUUACACAAGAGCGCACUACAACAGCGUGGCAUCACACAUUCAUGCAUGCAACAUCGAUGGGUUCAAAAGGAGAAGGAAGAUGGCUACGAUAACGAACACGCGAUGUCACGAUUCCAGGUUAGACUGGCACGGACGUUAAUUCGGGCAAGUCUCUUUCGCUACACUAAAGUUAUAGUUACUGCAGCGUGUGAAAUUCUCGACCGCGCGCCAGUCUAACGAAAAUUGUCUGCGAAAUGCCUCGGAGAGAGCCUCGUGGCGCGAUCUAUGGGCCGCGAUAUGUACCAGAAUAACUUCAGGGCGUUAAAUUAAAUAAAUUCGAAGUCGUUUUUAUAGGAAAAAACGUACCGCGCGAA